CCCAGACUCCUACGGGAGGCAGCAGUGGGGAAUAUUGGGCAAUGGAGGAAACUCUUACCCAGCAAUGCCGCGUGAAUGAAGAAGGUCUUCGGAUUGUAAAGUUCUUUAAUUGGGGACGAAAAAAAUGACGGUACCCAAGGAAUAAGCCCCGGCUAACUACGUGCCAGCAGCCGCGGUAAUACGUAGGGAGCGAGCGUUGUCCGGAAUUACUGGGUGUAAAGGGAGCGUAGGCGGGCUUGUAAGUUGAAUGUCUAAUCCACCGGCUCAACCGGUGAUCGCGUUCAAAACUGCAGGUCUUGAGUGAAGUAGAGGCAGGCGGAAUUCCUAGUGUAGCGGUGAAAUGCGUAGAUAUUAGGAGGAACACCAGUGGCGAAGGCGGCCUGCUGGGCUUUAACUGACGCUGAGGCUCGAAAGCGUGGGGAGCAAACAGGAUUAGAUACCCCAGUAC
rnacentral:rRNA from 1 species